rnacentral:lncRNA from 1 species
CACAGAGAUGCAGCCAAACGGAUUGAGAUACAGCCAGAGGCUACAGCUCAAUUAUCAAACGUUUAGGAACAUCUCUUUGGGGUUUGGGAUAACGAAGAUGCAGAUACCCUAUGGGAGAGCGAUCGGUUGAAGAAUGACAUGUUUUAAUAGAAGAAAAAAUAUGAAAUAAAUUAAAAAUAAUAAUAGAAAAAUGCAGAUGGAAUAGGAUCCUUUACAGUCG